rnacentral:misc_RNA from 1 species
AAACACCAUUUCCACACUCCAAA